CCUACGGGUGGCAGCAGUCGAGAAUCAUUCACAAUGGGGGAAACCCUGAUGGUGCGACGCCGCGUGGGGGAAUGAAGGUCUUCGGAUUAUAAACCCCUGUUAUGUGGGAGCAAAUUAAAAAGAUAGUACCACAAGAGGAAGAGACGGCUAACUCUGUGCCAGCAGCCGCGGUAAUACAGAGGUCUCAAGCGGUGUUCGGAAUCACUGGGCGUAAGGGGUUGGGAGGCUGUUUCGUAAGUCGUGGGUGAAAGGGGCGGGCUCAACCCGCGGACUGCACAUGAUACUGCGAGACUAGAGUAAUGGAGGGGGAACCGGAAUGCUCGGUGUAGCAGUGAAAUGCGUAGAUAUCGAGAGGAACACUCGUGGCGAAGGCGGGUUCCUGGACAUUAACUGACGCUGAGGCACGAAGGUCAGGGGAGCGAAAGGGAUUAGAUACCCCAGUAGUC
rnacentral:rRNA from 1 species